rfam:Sphingobium sp. Ant17 Contig_2149, whole genome shotgun sequence.
GAUGCGGGCCGGGCCCCUCUGACGAUCUGGAUUUCCCCCCUUGUCCAUGUCGUGAUGUCGGACCGCAUCG